AACGAACGUUAGCGGCGCGCCUAACACAUGCAAGUCGCACGAGAAAGGGCUUCGGCCCCGGUAAAGUGGCGCACGGGUGAGUAACACGUGGGUAAUCUGCCCUCGAGCAGGGGAUAACAUUCCGAAAGGAGUGCUAAUACCGUAUAAGACCACGACCUCGAAAGAGGAUGCGGUCAAAGCUGGCCUCUAUACAUAAGCUAGAACUUGAGGAUGAGCCCGGGGCGCAUGGGGUAGUUGGUGAGGUAAUGGCUCACCAAGCCUAAGACGCGUAGCUGGUCUGAGAGGAUGAUCAGCCACACUGGAACUGAGACACGGUCCAGACUCCUACGGGAGGCAGCAGUGGGGAAUCUUGCGCAAUGGGCGAAAGCCUGACGCAGCGACGCCGCGUGAGUGAUGAAGGCCUUCGGGUUGUAAAGCUCUGUGGGGAGAGACGAAUAAGUGCAGCCUAAUACGUUGCAUGAUGACGGUAUCUCCUUAGCAAGCACCGGCUAACUCUGUGCCAGCAGCCGCCGUAAGAC
rnacentral:rRNA from 1 species